UGGGGAAUUUUGGACAAUGGGCGAAAGCCUGAUCCAGCAAUGCCGCGUGUGUGAAGAAGGCCUUCGGGUUGUAAAGCACUUUUGUCCGGAAAGAAAUCCUUGGCUCUAAUACAGUCGGGGGAUGACGGUACCGGAAGAGUAAGCACCGGCUAACUACGUGCCAGCAGCCGCGGUAAUACGUAGGGUGCAAGCGUUAAUCGGAAUUACUGGGCGUAAAGCGUGCGCAGGCGGUUUGCUAAGACCGAUGUGAAAUCCCCGGGCUCAACCUGGGAACUGCAUUGGUGACUGGCAGGCUAGAGUAUGGCAGAGGGGGGUAGAAUUCCACGUGUAGCAGUGAAAUGCGUAGAGAUGUGGAGGAAUACCGAUGGCGAAGGCAGCCCCCUGGGCCAAUACUGACGCUCAUGCACGAAAGCGUGGGGAGCAAACAGGAUUAGAUACCCUGGUAGUCCACGCCCUAAACGAUGUCAACUAGUUGUUGGGGAUUCAUUUUCCUUAGUAACGUAGCUAACGCGUGAAGUUGACCGCCUGGGGAGUACGGUCGCAAGAUUAAAA
rnacentral:rRNA from 1 species